UCCAUCUUGAAAAAACAAAAAAAAAGAACACCAGUCAUACUGGAUUAGGGCCCACCCUUAUGGACUCAUUUUAUCUUACCUUUUUAAAGACCUUAGCUUCAAAUACAGUCCCAUUCUGAGUUACUAGAGGCUAGAACUUCAAUGCACGACUUUUGUGAAGACACAACUCAGCCCAUAUGACAUGAUAAUUUAGUACAGUUGUUCCUCCACAUCUAUGGACCUUGGUGUCCAGACUUCCUGUGAAUACCAAAGUCCAUGGAUGUUGAUAUAAAAUGAGAUCUCUGAUAUAAAAUGGAGUGAUAUUUGCAUAUAACCUAUGCACAUCCACCCACAUACUUUAAAACAUCUCUACAUUACUUGAAUACCUAAUGCAAUGUGAAUGCUAUGUAAACAGUUAUUAUCCAGAAUGUUUAGGGAACGAUGACAAAAAGUCUGCACAUGUUCAGUACAGAUACAGGUGUGUGUUGGGGUUUUUUCUUCCCCCAAAUAUAUCUGACCCACAGUUGGUUGAAUCUGCAAAUAUGAAACCUAUAGAUAUGAAGAGCCAAUAGCAUUCCUAGGUUGAGGCUGAGACAUCAAAACAUUUUACCAGCUAAAUUUGAAAAGCACUAUUCUCAACUCUCAUUCCCACUUGAGAAGUGGGUUAAAAAUAGUCCCUCAGGUCCAUCUCCAGAAUCUGAUCCAGUAGGUCUGGGGUAGAGCUGAGGAAAUGGCACUUGUUAUAAACAUUCUCAGUGGCCUUUGAAGGGUACUCUGAGAAGGAAUAAGUUGGCACAGAGACACAAUUCCUCUGAUACUGAUAUCUGCUUGAUACUGAUACAGACCCUUUAUCUGUGGGCACCUGGGUGGUCCCCUGUGGUUGGGGGGAAUAUCUUACUCCUACACAGAAGGACAGGGUUCCAAAGACCCUGAAGCACAGACCUCUCUUCCUGUGCCUCCCUGCUCUUGAUGACUGAGAAUUGACCUAAAAAGAUGUACAAAUUCAGGUAAGCAUCUAGACCUGCGUGUGCUCUAAACCAAUAGCUCCUUUCUCUUAGCUGCCAAUACAUAAAGUCAGCGCCAAUCCACAGAGGCAUCAGGGAAGCAUUGCAGGGUAUGAUGAAGAAUUGGCUUUUAGCAAACCUUUAAUCAAACUCUUGGCUCUGCAGUUCUCCAAGUUUAGCACAUUUCCCCAGUGUAUCAGUAGGGAUUCUUUGAUCACAGGAAAAAAGGAAUUGGUCUGACUAACUUCAGCAAAAAAAAAACAAAAAGCGAUCAUUUGAAUGAGAUGACGUAGCUUAAGGGAUGGAUAGAUGGAUAACCAGGCUUAAACACAAAGGCAGGAAUCAGGGUGAAUCUGAGGUCUAGCCCUGGGAACUGUCUCUUCACUCAACUCCACCAGGAUAUCACUGCCGAAAUGAAUCCACUCCAGGUUUUCAAUCACGCUUGUUUUCUUCACCAUAUUUAGCAUUACUCUACUCAAUACUCAGAGUCUUAGGAUAAAUAACUCAACUGUCCUGCCUUGGCCAUAUCUACAUCUGAUGGCUAGGGACGGGUGUCUUGAUUUAUCAUCUCUCCAAGACUGCACACGUGAAAGAGGAAAUUUAACCCAAAUAGAAUAAGAAAGUACUAGCUACCAUAGGCAGAAAUGUCUAUUGGCUGUAGACAACAAGGAAGCACACGCUUGCUGAAGACAACAAGGAAUCAC